rnacentral:rRNA from 1 species
UACGUAGGGUGCAAGCGUUAAUCGGAAUUACUGGGCGUAAAGCGUGCGCAGGCGGUUCCAUAAGCCAGAUGUGAAAUCCCCCGGCUCAACCUGGGAACUUCAUUUGUGACUGUGGGGCUAUAGUAAGGUAGAGGGGGAUGGAAUUCCGCGUGUAGCAGUGAAAAGCGUAGAUAUGCGGAGGAACACCAAUGGCGAAGGCAAUCCCCUGGACCUGUACUGACGCUCAUGCACUAAAGCGUGGGGAGCAAACAGG